rnacentral:tRNA from 1 species
UAGAUCAGUUGGUAGAGCAUGGUGUUUGCAACGCCAGGGUUGUGGGUUCGAUUCCCAC